AUUCUGCCCAUGCAGGGAAGGAUGAGAAGCUUCGACCAAGGUUCGACUCGAGGCCAGCGAGAGAGCGUUGCCGCAGGCAACGACCCGUAGGGCGAAGCGCGCAGCGCUGAGUAAUCCUUCCCCCACCACCA
rnacentral:sRNA from 1 species